AGAGCGAGAGAGCGGAGGCCCCUGCGCUCCCCUGCCUCGGCCAGCAGGCUCUCCCAGCGGAGGCAUGCUGUCCUGACCGUGAGAGGUUCCUCCUGCGGUCUGUGUGACCCCCACCGUGAGUGAGCGGGAUAGACCCCGACCUUCCCUGGGGUCUUCCACUCCCCAUGCAGGGAGGGACUGUCUGGUAGCGGACGGGCACUACCCACAGACCCCAGGCUCGGGGGGAGCAGGAAACACUGCGACUCUGCGUCUUGCUGGGCAGCGUGCUGAGGCGGCCGGAGCAGCCCACGGCCGGCUGGCACAGCGCGUCUGAGCCCCGACCGGUGCCCGGCGACGGCGGGCGAGCGAGCUGCUCCUGGCUGUAGCAGACCUGGGCUUUCUUGGGCAGCCCACCCGAAGUGGCCCACCGCACAGCUGGGGUCCCAGGGGCCAGCUUUCCCCUGUGGAGGGCGAAACAGGCCGUUCGGACGCAGGCCAUGUGAUGGGGAGAAGGAUCCAGAAUCACAGGAGAACCUUGACGCCCUUGACUGCCCUUGAUGUGCCGGAGAGGGGCAGUUACAGAACCAGCUGCCGGGCCUCCUGGUAGACACCGUGUGGUUCUGUCCAUUGGAUCUCAACCUGGGAGCGGCCUUGAGAGGCAGCCACCCGUCCUGGCUCGUCGGUGCCCAGCAGCGGCUUCAGACCGUGCGCUCGAAAACCCAACUUCCUCCGGGAGGGCGGGGGCUCUGCCUCUCCCCUUGGCACCCCUGCUUCCCUGCCCGCACGGUGCUGAGGCACGGCUCAGAUUUUCUUGAUCAUUCGCUUAUUAGAAAGUAGGCCUGACGCAUGCUUGAUGUUCAGAAAUGUUUGUUGAAUGAAAUAGUGUUGCCCGAAGUUCGGUUUUUUUGUGGUUGGUUUGCAAUUAUUGGUUUUUGAUUGAGAUGGGUGUCAGUGAUGUUUGCAUUGAUGCUUUAAAUUAGCCUCCCCUGCCUGCUGGUGGCAGUCAGAGUUUUGUGGGCGCACUUGCUGGAUACAGAACGACACUGGCUGGACCCUUAGGGUGUUUGUGAUUCUUCGUCCAGACAGGUGAACGAACAAGGAUGGACAGUGAGGUCACAGACACUAGGUCUCCUGGGUGGGGCAUGUAAUUCUGUGAUGUGUGCCCCCGGCUGCCUCCAA